CAAAAGGGGAAGGAUUUAACUUGCAAAUAACCCCUCACUGCGAUGACACGCGGAUCCUGAGGGUCAAAGAACCGGAUCGGGUCGGGUGUACAAAUACGACACCAUUUGGAAAGCCACUAGGCAAGGCCUGAAACGGUGCCGUUUGAGGUCCUAUAAAAAGGCCAAAUCGGCAGAUUAGGCCGAACCCUAACCUUAGCCUCACUCCUUUCUCUCCAGCAGCCCCCAGACCUCUCUCCUCAAAUGCCAAGCCGCCAUCAUACAGAUGACCAGCAUCCUCAGGCUAUGCGCGACCGCUUUAUGGCCUUGAAGUUCCCCUUAAGUCUCUGAUUUCGGCGAAACAAAGGAGAAUCGAUGGCCUAUUUUCAAGGUACAAGACGUGCUGGCGUUCGGGUACGGGAGUUGACAUACGGGAGCGCGCGUGACUGCUGAAAUGCUGGAGCGUACCGGGGCGGUGGAGGCUGAAUGGUUGCGGCGCAUCUACUGCUAGGGAUAGGGUUUGGAGAAAUUUGUUUAGCAAUUGGGCCGUUUGGGCUCAUUUCGGGUAUUGGGUCAACCCUUGGGUUAUGGGAUUGGUUUUUUGUAAAUAGGCUGUGGGCCAUAGUAGUUUUUUUUGGACUGAUGUACUGCAAAUGGACAUUAAUUAUUGGUUUGUUUUA